rnacentral:rRNA from 1 species
AAGGGCACCACAAGCGCGUGGAGCAUGUGGCUUAAUUUGACUCAACGCGGGAAAUCUUACCAGGUCAGGACACAUUGAGGAUUGACAGAUAGUUAUACCAAACACGAGCUCGAACCAGAGUUCGUAUAUGAUUUACAAAAUCUAACGGCUCUUACAUGAUUAUGUGAUAGGUGGUGCAUGGCCGUUCUUAGUUCGUGGAGUGAUCUGUCUGCUUAAUUGCGUUUGGAUACAACAAUUUUGGAAUCGCGGCAAUGUUCAGCUUAAUGGCGUCGAUAAAAUUAACAUUAUGUUGACAAUUAGUCCAACUCGGUCCAGCUCGAUUCUUUCCAAUGCAACGAGCGUGAUCGCGACCCCUUGUUGAGCUCAUUACACAUAAGCUCUAUGUCGACGGAACGCUUUUGCGUUACGGAGACAAACUCGGGGGACAGCUUCAAUCAAUUUUCUCAAACGAGAGGAAGGUUGCGGCAAUAACAGGUCUGUGAUGCCCUCAGAUGUCCUGGGCCGCACACGUGCUACAUUGAUCAGCGCAGUGCGUCUUUUUUCCAAUGAAACAUCGGUCUGGCCGUUUUUAACAGUCCUGUACGGUUUUGCAAUGGCUACUGAUAGUGUCUGGUGUUCAACACACUGGGCAAUCUCUUGAAAAUACUGAUAGAAUACCCAACUCGAGCAAAUCUACUACACGCUGGAGGCACAACGGUCCAAGGGCUUAUCCCUUGCGACUGGUGCAGCCAAUGACGUAUGCAACUUGUCAACUCUACGUGGGGAUAGUCGCCUGAAAUUCUUCGACUCGUUCUAACUAGGAAUGCCUUGUACGGGCCUUGGUUCAUUAUGCCGCCCGGAAUACGUCCCUGCCCUUUGUACACACCGCCCGUCGCUCUUACCGAUUGAACUUUACUGUGAGUUUAAAGGACCGAUCAUUUGGAAAUCUAGUCAAACAGAGUUGUUUAAAGGAAAGAGAAGUCGUAACAAGGCAUCGGUAGGUGAACCU